ACUAGUAAAUGCUCCUCCCCAUUGCUUGUUAUGAGGCACUUGACGAAGGGAAUUUUCCUGCAAAGGUCCCAGUUACUGAAUGGGUUUUCCAGGCACAGAGCAGAAGCACCAAGAAAGAGAAUGUGUAU